ensembl:lncRNA
GAGAGAGAGACUGAGAGAGAGGGGGGCAGGUAGGGAGUGAGAGAGGGUCAGGUAGAGAGAGAGAGGGGGGCAGGUAGAGAGAGAGAGGGGGCAGGUAGGGAGAGAGAGGGGGCAGGUAGGGAGUGAGAGAGGGUCAGGUAGAGAGGGGGUUAGGUAGGGAGUGAGAGAGGGUCAGGUAGAGAGAGAGAGAGAGGGGGCAGGUAGGGAGAGGGGGUUAGGUAGAGAGAGUGAGAGAGGGUCAGGUAGAGAGAGUGAGAGAGGGUCAGGUAGAGCGAGGGGGCAGGUAGAGAGGGGGUUAGGUAGGGAGUGAGAGAGGGUCAGUUAGAGAGAGAGAGGGGGGGCAGGUAGGGAGUGAGACAGGGUCGGUCAGGUAGAGAGAGAGGGGGGGACAGGUAGGGAGAGAGGGGGGAAGGUAGAGAGAGAGAGAGGCAUGUACCCUACGGUGUAUACUGUAUGUGCUCAUUUCUGUCAUUUCCUCAGAGAGGGCAGAGCUGCAUCGCUGCUGAUGUAAGGUGGCUGUGCUUGGAGGGAGAGAAGGAAGGCGAGGGAGGGAGGGAGGAGUUCGAUAGAUGGGGG